GAUGAACGCUAGCUACAGGCUUAACACAUGCAAGUCGAGGGGCAGCAUGGUCUUAGCUUGCUAAGGCCGAUGGCGACCGGCGCACGGGUGAGUAACACGUAUCCAACCUGCCGUCUACUCUUGGACAGCCUUCUGAAAGGAGGAUUAAUACAAGAUGGCAUCAUGAGUUCACAUGUUCACAUGAUUAAAGGUAUUCCGGUAGACGAUGGGGAUGCGUUCCAUUAGAUGGUAGGCGGGGUAACGGCCCACCUAGUCUUCGAUGGAUAGGGGUUCUGAGAGGAAGGGCCCCCACAUUGGAACUGAGACCCGGUCCACACUCCUACGGGAGGCAGCAGUAAGGAAUAUUGGGCAAUGGGCGAGAGCCUGAACCAGCCAAGUAGCGUGAAGGAUGACUGCCCUAUGGGUUGUAAACUUCUUUUAGAAAGGAAUAAAGUCGGGUAUGUAUACCCGUUUGCAUGUACUUUAUGAAUAAGGAUCGGCUAACUCCGUG
rnacentral:rRNA from 1 species